AAGUCGUAACAAGGUUUCCGUAGGUGAACCUGCGGAAGGAUCAUUAUCGAAUGAACGAAGCGCGCGGUUGCUGCUGGUCGUUCGCGCGACAACGUGCACGCCGCCGUUUCUCUUUCAUCCAUCCACCCCUUCUGUGCACUUUGCGUGGACCGCGGAUCUCUCGCGGUCUAUGACUUUUUUUUUACACACUCCGUAACCUGCGAAUGAAUGCAUCGUUCGAGCAUUUCGUCUCGAUAUAAUCUAAUACAACUUUCAACAACGGAUCUCUUGGCUCUC
rnacentral:misc_RNA from 1 species